rnacentral:rRNA from 1 species
UUCGCAAUGCCCGAAAGGGUGACGAAGCGACGCCGCGUGUGGGAAGAAGGCCUUCGGGUUGUAAACCACUGUCGGGAGUUAAGAAAUACAAGGAUAUUAAUAGUGUCUUUGUUUGACUAAGGCUCCGGAGGAAGCCACGGCUAACUCCGUGCCAGCAGCCGCGGUAAUACAGAGGCGGCAAGCGUUGUUCGGAAUUAUUGGGCGUAAAGAGCACGUAGGCGGCUAUGUAAGUCGGUUGUGAAAGCCUUCCGCUCAACGGAAGAACAGCAUCCGAUACUACAUGGCUUGAGUGCGGGAGGGGAGAGUGGAACUUCUGGUGGAGCGGUGAAAUGCGUAGAUAUCAGAAGGAACGCCGGCGGCGAAAGCGGCUCUCUGGCCCAUAACUGACGCUGAGUGUGCGAAAGCUAGGGGAGCAAACGGGAUUAGAUACCCCGGUAGUCCUAGCCGUAAACGAUGGGCACUAAGUAGAGGGGUUUU